rnacentral:rRNA from 1 species
GAUGAACGCUGGCGGCGUGCCUAAUACAUGCAAGUCGAGCGAGCGGCGGACGGGUGCGUAAUGUCUGGGAAACUGCCUGCUGGAGGGGGAUAACUAAUGGAAACGGUAGCUAAUACCGCAUACCAUCAGAUGUGCCCAGAUGGGAUGAGCUAGUGGGUGGGGUAACGGCUCACCUAGGCGACGAUCCCUAGCUGGUCUGAGAGGAGGACCAGCCACACUGGAACUGAGACACGGUCCAGACUCCUACGGGAGGCAGCAGCGGGGAAUAUUGCACAAUGGGCGCAAGCCGGAUGCAGCCAUGCCGCGUGUAUGAAGAAGGCCUUCGGGUUGUAAAGUACUUUCAGCGGGGAGGCGUUACCCGCAGAAGAAGCACCGGCUAACUCCGUGCCAGCAGCCGCGGUAAUAC